rnacentral:rRNA from 1 species
GACGAACGCUGGCGGCGUGCUUAACACAUGCAAGUCGUACGGUAAGGCCCUUUCGGGGGUACACGAGUGGCGAACGGGUGAGUAACACGUGAGUAACCUGCCCACAACUUUGGGAUAACGCUAGGAAACUGGUGCUAAUACUGGAUAUGUGCUCCUGCUGCAUGGUGGGGGUUGGAAAGCUCCGGCGGUUGUGGAUGGACUCGCGGCCUAUCAGCUUGUUGGUGGGGUAGUGGCAUACCAAGGCGGCGACGGGUAGCCGGCCUGAGAGGGUGACCGGCCACAUUGGGACUGAGAUACGGCCCAGACUCCUACGGGAGGCAGCAGUGGGGAAUAUUGCACAAUGGGCGCAAGCCUGAUGCAGCAACGCCGCGUGCGGGAUGACGGCCUUCGGGUUGUAAACCGCUUUCAGCAGGGACGAAGCUUUUUGUGACGGUACCUGCAGAAGAAGCACCGGCUAACUACGUG